CUGUGGGCAUCUUUUGCAAAAAAAAAAAAAAAGAAAAAAAAAAGAUAGGAUUGCUCAUAGAUGAGACUAAAGCAGAGAUUCCAAAGCACAGCUGACAAAUGCUGGUCCCAGAUGUCAGCUGGCUUUGGGAAAGAAAACAAAACCAAAGGAGGAGCUUUGACUAACUGCAGGUACAGUAUAGGUUAUAGAACGUGUAGGUUUCAAAA